rnacentral:rRNA from 1 species
CAGAGGGGGCAAGCGUUGUUCGGAAUUACUGGGCGUAAAGGGCGCGUAGGCGGCCUGCUAAGUCGAACGUGAAAUCCCCGGGCUCAACCCGGGAACUGCGUCCGAGACUGGCGGGCUUGAAUCCGGGAGAGGGAUGCGGAAUUCCAGGUGUAGCGGUGAAAUGCGUAGAUAUCUGGAGGAACACCGGUGGCGAAGGCGGCAUCCUGGACCGGCAUUGACGCUGAGGCGCGAAAGCCAGGGGAGCAAACGGGAUUGGAUACCCCGGUAGUCCUGGCCCUAAACGAUGAAUGCUUGGUGUGGCGGGUAUCGAUCCCUGCCGUGCCGAAGCUAACGCAUUAAGCAUUCCGCCUGGGGAGUACGGUCGCAAGGCUG